GCUUAGGGUGUUGGAUUUAUUGGAAAUGCGUAAGAUUGAGUUCACAGAAGAAAUAUUACAACUUGUGAACUUACGCUACUUAGCUAUCAAUUGCAAGUCAUUGCCAAGAAGUGGAAUAUCAAGAUUGUGUAAUUUGCAAACCUUGAUUGCCGAGGUAUCCAACAAAAUUUUGGAGAUCUUUAUUUUUCCCAUGUCCUGUAGCUAUUUCCCAGCUGAGUUGUGGGAAAUGUCUGAGUUAAGACAUCUCAUCAUAUUGAAUACAUAUCUCGAGAUGGAAGAUGAUUACAUGAAAAAAAUUGUUCUGAAGAAGCUGCAGACGAUACGGGGUGUGGAGCUAAGUCCGUCAGUGAUUAGAAGGGGUUUCUUGGAAAGCAUUCCAAAUAUAAAAAGCUUGGAAAUCCGGUAUUGUGAGGAUGAAGGCUCAUCAGGGAUGAGUGAAGUAGUUGAUCUGAGUCAUCUUCACAAACUCCAAACAUUAAGCUGGAGUUCAUUAGGGGAUCAAUAUCUGCACGUACCCAAAUUUCCAUCUACUCUUAGAGAAUUAAAUCUGGAGAAUUGUGUAAUAACUCCGGCAGCGACGACGGUCCUGUGUGCACUACCGGAUCUGGAAGUGCUCAAGAUAGAGGAAUGUACCUUCGAAAGCAAUGAGACAGAAGAAGAAGAAGCAAAUGAAGAGUGGGAAAUAACAGAAGGAGAUGAAUUCAGCUCAUUGCAGUUUCUACAACUCGAAUGUCGUAGACUGGUGCGUUGGAGAGCUGAUGAAACCAACUUCCCUAGACUCCGCCAUCUCUUUUUACGAAGUUGUUGGGAGCUAGAGGAAAUCCCCGCAGGCAUUGGAGAAAUCCCAACCCUCCAAUUAAUCGAAAUGGUAUAUUGCAGGGAUUCUGCAGUGGCCUCAGCGAAACAGAUUCAGGAGGAGCAGCAAUCUGAAUAUGAGAACUACCAACUCCAACUUUGUAUCUCAUAUGAUGAUUAGGUCAGUAUUAUUAUCACUUUCUGCCUAUCCAAAAAAUAAAUAACCAAAAGUAUUUAGUAACCAAAAACCACUCCCAAUAUCUUUUUAGCAAAAACAGUAUUAUGAUUUUUUGAUGCUUUGUACUUGUAAUUGAUGGAUCAUAUUUUCUUUUGGUAAAUUAGGAGGAGGCGCACAAAGAAGUUGAAGAAUGAACGCUGAUGGGUGAUGAAUUUUGAUGUUUUAGGUGGAUCAAGAUAGGAUGGAUCAUACUAAUUUUUAUUUAUAUAAAUUGCAUACAUAUAUUAAUUAUAGCUUUUUGCGAGUCUUUAUAAGUUUUUCUUUUGUGUGUGUGUGUGUGACAGAUUAACAUAAUUCGAGUUUUUUAAGUUACUGCUGUUGAGAAAGACUUAACUUAGUGAAGAAAAUGGAUUAUUAAUAGGUAUUACGACUAGGAAAAUCAAAAAUUAAAAGAGAAAAUUAAGGCAGCCAUGAAAAGAAAGUUAUAGACUGGUGCGUUGGAGAGCUGAUGAAACAAACUUCCCUAGACUUCAGCAUCUCAUUAUACGGAAAUGUCCUAAUCUAGAGGAAAUCCCCGUCGGCAUUGGAGAAAUCCCAACCCUCCAAUCAAUCCACGUAGAAUGGUGCAGCAAUUCAGCAGAGGCCCCAGCGAAACAGAUUCAGGAGGAGCAGCAAUCUGAAUACGAGAACUACGACCUCCAACUUCGUAUCAUCCCAUCAUAUAUGAUUUGGUCAGUCUUAUUAUCACUCUAAUCAUGUUGUUGGGUUUCAUUAAACUGACGAAUUUCUUGUGCCGCAUAUCUACAGAGCACAGAAAGAGGAAGAGAAAAGAAAGGAAGAUCGAUGAAGACGACUCAAAGUGGCCAUAUUUGAAACUCAUUUGAUUUCUCCUCUCUUCUUGUCUUACCAUUACCAUUGCUUCACAAUUUGCUUUGUUUUUCACUUAUGAUGCUUUUCUUACUGCCUUUUUUUCCCCUCUUUUGUUUGGUGCUUAGUUUUAGAAGAGCAACUCCUUUUCCCUUUUAGUGUUUUUCACUGGCUUUUUUGUCUUUAAUUGGAUUUUUUGUUAAUAUGAUGUUAUAAUUUCAUUGAUAUAUAUUGGAGUUUCGGAUGAAUUAUGAUCUUUAAACAUUUUUAGUUCUAGUACUCACCGAGAUAAAGUUGGCAUGCAUGAUAUCAAGCUUCUUGAACAUAAAUAUAUUAGUAUGUGUGUUGAUCUAACAGUAGAGCAGGUAAUACAAAAAGUCAAAAGAGGUUUUGAGUUCAUAAUUUUUAAAUUUACUUAUUUAAUUGGUAAUUGUUUAUCAAAAUAUAUUUAUAUAUAAUAUUGGUUAUAGGGAUAAUAACAUUUAAAUAAAUGCACGCACAAUGCUCGGAAAACACACACACACAUAUAUAAUAUUAGUCUGUGUUAAUUUAAUGGUAGAGUGGUUAAUACUCAAAGUUAAAAGAAAUUUUGAGUUCGAGUUCAUCGUGACAUAAUCUUUGACUUUAUUAUUUAUUUAAUUAUUAAUUUAUCAAAAUAUAUUUAUAUGUAAUAUUGAUUAUAGGGAUACUAAAGCUUAAAUAAAUGCACAAAGUUCCACAUAUAAUCAAAUAAAUGCACAAACUUGUCAACAAAGAUUAAUGCAUCACAUGAAUAAAGUAUCUAGCUCACUAGAGAAUAUUCUCUCUCUCUCUCUCUUUUACUAUUUUUAUCUUUUGCUUUUAUUAUAUAACUAGCGUCUAACUCGUCGAAAUUCGAUGAGAAUUAUUUUAUGUUAUCAUUUAUAAUUAUUUUAUGUUAUUUUUAUUAUUAUAGUAUAUAAAAUAGUUUAUAUAUAAAUUAUUUCUUUAAUUAAUUUGAUAUGAUAAAAUUAAAUUAGUAGUACAAUAUUUGAAAUAAUAUUAAUGUUAAUCACUUUCGCCAAUUAAAUGUAGGUUGUGAUAAUAGAAAUACAUUUUUAUAUAAAUAUUUAUUUGAUGAAGUUUAUAAAAAGUUGAUGUGGGAUUGAAUAUUUUAGAAGAAAAAAAUAUGUAAAUUUGAAGAUUGAAGAAAUAAAAUACAAAUAUAAAUCCUUUUUUAGAUAUGGAAAUUGAUUAAAAAUUCAGAAAAAAAUAAGAAUGAAUGAAAAUUGAGGAAAAUUAAAAUAGAGUGAUUAUACGGCGUCACACAAGAUAUGAUUUAUUCUGCUAUUAUAUAUAUAUUUUGAGAAUGAAGAAUUAAUCUAAGCCCUUAGAUUAAUUGAUAUUAACGAUCCAGAUCAUUUCGUUCAUUUAAGAUCUGAUUUAUAUGUUAAGGUUAUUUAAGUAAUUGUAUUUUUUUAAUGUAACCGUUUCUUAUUGCUAUUUUAGUUGACCGUAUCCCAUAUUUUUUUGAAUUGAUUUAUGAAGAUAUCAAUCAUUUACAUUUUAUUCUUUUUUUCUUAAAUUAGUUUUAUUAGUUUAUGAUUGUUUAUGGUAGACAAAAUAAUGAGGCCGCAGAUUAUAUAUAAACCUACUUCUACUAAUGAAAUUAUAGGUGUUCAUACCCAGCUCAUGGUGAACACGGCAAUGAAUUAGCUAUGGAUGUGAUAUUUUUUCAUUAAUCUAAAUCACCAUAAACGUCACGUAAUUCUCUCCUCCCCAUUUCUACAUUUUUGGCCAGUAUAAAUUAAUUCAAAUCCAAAAAAUCCAACUCAUUUGUCCGUGUUUUUUAAUUCUCUAUAUCUUAUUACCGUAAUUAAUAACAAUAUUCGUAAUUUUGUUAAGCUUGUUCGAAAAAUUAUAUGUUAAGUAUUUUAUGUUAACAAGAGAAAUUUGAAUAUUUUAUUUAGAUAUUCGUAAUUUUUUUACGCUUGUUCAAAAUAUUUUAUGCUAAAUAUUUUAUGUCAGGAAGAACAUUUCGAAUAUUUUAUUUGGAUAUUCGUAAUAUUUCUUUUCUUGUUCGAAUUAUUUUUAUGUUAGAUAUUUUAUGUCAACAAGAAAAAUUCGAAUUUUUUACUUAGAUGUUCGUAAUUUUUUUAUGCUUGUUCGAAAAUUUUAUAUUAUAUAGUUUUACAAUUCUGAAUCAAAUAUCAAUAAUCAGACUUUUCACUAUAAUAUUCAUAACUUUAUACGGUUUAUGCAAAAGUAAUUGAAUGCCUAUUUUCUUGAAAUAUAGUCAAUUAUGAUGGCAAUGAAAAAACAACAAUUACAUAGAGCAAGCUGGAAAUUUUGAGCACCAACUUUCGUCCCUAGCUACUUUCCCCUAAGCAUGCUAAAGACUCAAAUGAAUCUCCCAGUACACAGAUGACAAAGGAACUCAAACCACUAAGUCCAGCAACAAACUUGAAUUUAUGUAUGAAUCCUAAACUAAUCAGCAGCCCACGUCCAAGCAAAACUCAGUAGAAAGAACUCAUCACCACUAAGUCCAGCAACAAACUUGAAUUUAUUCAAAAUUAUAGUAUGAUCUAACUUCUAAGCACCGAGUCAGUUCUCCAAAAAUGCUAUAUUCAAACAAUAUAAAGUCGAGUUCAUCCAAAAGGUAAAUCGAUGAUAUUGAAAUGAGACAUGCCCUGCUAUAUUAAUCCAAAUAAACCGAUAAGUACAAUAUCUAAAUCAAUGUACGAAUUGCAUAUACAACAAAUUAUGAAUCAACAACCCUUCACGAUAGAUGAAUAUAUAUACACCAUUAUUUACAUCAAUUACCAAGCUAACGGAAAACUAAACCACCUAAACUUAUGUAAUGCAAUGCUGAUACAUCUAAAUCAUCUAGCAGACCGGAGUCAAUCGCAACAAACUUCACCACCUUCUUCAACAUUUAGUUGAAGAAUAUCUUUUCUAAAAAAUGAAUUGACAUUCGAAUUGAUUGUUUUUCGUGGAUUAAUUUAUUGGUAUAUUAUAUUUAAGUUUUAGUCACAUUUGGAAUAAUCUCAAUUAAGUGGGUAUAAGGAUUCAUAUUCUGGAUGCCAUCAUUUUGUUAAAUUAAAUUUUUUGGGUGAAAAAAAGAUGGAUUAUGAGGCAUAAUGAGUUCUUGUUGGUCAUUGAGUUUAUAUAUAUAUAAAAGGUUGGUAUGAGGAGGUUAAGAGGGAUUUCAGACGUUUGAAAACAGACUAAUGGACACUCGAAGUGCUAAUGUGUUUUAAUUUGGGUGGGAAAAUAGAAGGCCGUGAGUUAUAUAAUAGUUCCGAUAAUCAAAUGGAUAUUUAGGAUUUAUAAUUAAAUGGAUAUGUUGGAUUUAUCUAAUAGUUUUAUACGAUUAUUUAAUAGUACAAACUUUAUCUAAUAGUUUUAUAUGAUUAUUUAAUAGUACAGAAUUUAUCUAUAAAUUUAUAUGAUUAUUUAAUAGUUUUUAAAUGUAAAAAUUGAUUAGAAAUGUAUAAAUAAAUAAGAAUGAAUGAGAAUUGAGGAAAAUUAGAAUGGAGUGAUUAUACGAUGCCACGUAGGAUAAGAUUUAUUUUGUUAUAAUGUAAAAAUUUAUUAUAAAUGUAUAAAUAAAUAAGAAUGAAUGAGAAGACUUUAUCUAAUAGUUUUAUAUGAUUAUUUAAUAGUACAGAAUUUAUCUAUAAAUUUAUAUGAUUAUUUAAUAGUUUUUAAAUGUAAAAAUUGAUUAGAAAUGUAUAAAUAAAUAUAAAUGUAUAAAUAAAUUGAUUAUUUAAAUUUUUGUACAAGAAUUAAGAAGAAUUAAUUAACAUCAAAUUUUAAAAACUCAUUCUCUUUUCUCACCAGCUAAACUUAAUGUACUCCAUAUCCCAAUAAAUUUAAAUGAAAGAUUGAUAAUUCUUCCUUUUAAAAAAAGUAUUUUAAAAGUAGAAGUGAUAAAUAAAUUUAAUUAAUAUCUUAAUGAGGGAGUUGGAAAGUGAAAAAUUUAAUGAGAAGAGAGAGAUAAUUAAUCUUGAUUGAAGAGAAAAUCUUAUAUUGAGAAACAAAAUAAAAAACUUAAAACAUCAUAUUUUGAGAGUUGAAGAAAGAAUUAUUGCCUCGAUCCAUUGAAAAAUAGAGAAACAAAUAAUAGAAGUUUUAUGUAGAGAGGAUAAAUUUUUUUUUUUUUGAUCGGAUAAAGUUAUGUUAGAUGUUAACAAUUAAUUCCCCAAACACUCCAAGAAUUCACCAAGCCCACCUUAUCUCUCCAAUCACCAAAUUCGCUCCCAAAGGGGAUCGAACCCGGGUCUCAUCACUAAGUGAGGACCCGGUGGCCAGGUGAGAUGUAGAGAGGAUAAAUGAGAGAAUUUGAAGGUGUAUUGAAAGAUAGCAACAUUGGUAUCUAUUUAUAGAGAAUGAAAAAAUAUAUAUUUUGAUAUUUUUAAUUAUUUUUUUUAAUAUUUAUAUUAAAAAUAUACUAAUUUUUAUUAAUUAUCCUAACAAAAUAUACUCAACCCAUCAAAUAUUGACAAAUCGUUGCACCAUUGAUCCAAAUAGGGGUGUAAAUGAGCCGAGUCGAGUCGAGUAUUGCUAUGCUCAAACUCGAACUUGGCUAUUUUCACGAAGCUCGACUCGGCCAAGCUUGAAUUUUUUGAGCUCGGGCUCGACUCGAUGUCAUAAUCGUGAGCUCGAGCUCGACUCGGUUAAGCUCGAUUGUGGAUUCUUACUCGAGUUUGAGCUCGAGCUCGAGCUAGUUUAAGCUCGUUGAGCUCGAACUCGUUUAAACUCGGUUAGCUCGAGCUCGUUUAAGCUCGCCUCAUACAUUCUUUAACAAAUUGAAUAACAUUACAAAUCAACGCAAAUUCCUGUCCUAAAGAUAAUAUCUUACAACUUCUAACACAGUUGUAAGUUAUAAUGAAACAAAUCGACAGAAAUUAUCAUGAAACAAUAUCAGAAAUUAUCAGUUGUAAGUUUACAAAAUAUGAGGCGGAUGUCAAAUAAUACAAUGCAAAUUCAAGAUAUAUUGUCACGAAAUAUCAUGAAACAAAUAGAUAGAAAAAAGACUAAAUGAGUAGCUGACCUCAUUCAAAGUUCAAACUAUAGGCAAUUUCCAAGAAAUUACAGUUAUGAAAAAUUCUUUACUGGAAAUUACCAGUCGCGCCGGGGAAGGAGAGCAGUUGCGCCGAGCUGGGAAAAGGAGACAGUCGCGCCGGCCGCCGGGGAAGGAGAGCAGUCGCGCCGAGUUGGGAAAAGGGUUUGUGUAAUUGCUAAUUGUGUUACACAUAUAUUUGGGCUUGUGAAUUGUGAUUUGGGCCUUCUUGUGGGCUGAAUUAUAGUAUUUAUUUUGGGCCUACCAUUGAUCCAAACUAGAUGAGAGAGAGUGAGCACUCCCCAAUUUUCCUACCGACAAAGAUGGCAGCCAUAUUUACUGAACACCACUUUCCUUUCCUUUCCUUUCCUUUCCUUUUGUUUUGCUUAUUUUUCGAGUGAGCAGAGAUCUGAAAAAUGGCUUACAAUCUUCAAUCACUCAUCACCAUCCUCCAAGGGAUUCUGGAUCCCCAACAAACACGCUGGAUUCUUGGACAAGAGAAACCACAACUCCAAUCCCUCCUCCAAAAAGCUUCUUACCUGCAGCAGAAGAUUCUCGAAAAAACUCCACCACUCACCAAAAUACCAAGCUUGCAGUGCCAAAUCAGAGACGUAGCAAAUGAAGCAGAAGACAUCGUUGAAUCUCACAUGGUUGAACGAAUGCUCUCGAUGCCUGAAGGCGUGAACUUCACUCCGCUGGCACCAGAUGUGCUGCUAGUGACGCAAAAACUUGAUUCUGUGAUCGAACAAGUCGUGAAGCUCGUGGAGGUGGAGACAAACAAGAAGCCGACUGGCAGCUCAGUGAGUGGUGCUUCUUUCUCGAGCGUGGUGGGAGUUGAUGAAGAUCUGAUGCAGUUGAAGGAUCGGCUGACCGGGAAUCAGACCAAGCUGGAGAUCCUGCCCAUCGUGGGUAUGGGUGGUAUAGGUAAAACCACUCUUGCUCGAAAACUUUAUCAAGAUUCACUCAUUGUUGAGCACUUUGGCUAUCUUGCUUGGACCACAAUCUCACAAGAUUACAAUAUGCGGUCAAUUCUAUUAAGCCUUCUUCGUUGCAUAACUGGAUCAGACUAUGAACAUAAGGGAGAUGGUGAGUUAAAAGAUAUCUUAUAUAGGAGCUUGUACGGUAGAAGAUACAUGAUUGUAUUAGAUGAUAUUUGGAGCACCAAAAUCUGGGAUGAGAUAAGGAUGUACUUCCCGGACAACAAUAACGGGAGUCGGAUUGUGAUCACCACUAGGGAAUCGGAUGUAGCCAAAUAUGCAGACUCCAAUAGUCUGCAUCAUAAGGUGCAGUUGCUGAGCGAGUCUCAAAGUUGGGAUCUACUUAGCCAAAUUGUGUUUGGAGAAGAGGAUUGCCCUCAUGAGUUACAAGGGAUAGGAGAGAAGAUUGCGAGUGAUUGCGGUGGGCUUCCUCUGGCUAUCAAUGUGAUUGGAGGGCUGUUGUCAAAGGUGGAAAGAUUGAAAGAUGUUUGGGAGAAUAUUGGGAACGACGUAAGAGCUGCAAUUGUUGAAUCAGACAAGCAAUUCUCCAAUAUACUAUCCUUAAGUUAUAACCAUUUGCCGCUUCACUUGAAACCAUGUUUCCUCUAUAUGGCAGCAUUCCCUGAAGAUUAUCAGAUGAAGGCCUCAAGACUCAUAAGGAUGUGGGUAGCAGAAGGAUUUGUGAAAUCGAAUGGAGAUAAAAGUUUGGAGAAAGAGGCAAAUGAUUAUUUAAAGUCACUUGUAGAAAGGAAUCUAGUUUCGAGUUAUCAUUGGUAUGGAAAAUCAAAGAGGUACAACAUGCAUGAUCUUUUGAGAGAUUUAUGCAUUAGGAAAGCUGAUGAUAUGAAGUUUCUACAUGUCAAAAAUUCCACCGAACUCACAUUCUCUAACCAGCCGCGUCGUGUGAGUACUCACACAUCAUAUGGAAUGGAAGAUGAUGAGUAUGCUUCUUCAUCAGAGAUGUCACUUGUUCGAUCAUUUCUACUAUUUGGCAAGUGGGGUAGGAAUGUAUCUCCCAUGGUUUUCACAUUAAGAUUGCUUAGGGUGUUGGAUUUAUUGGAAAUGAAUAAGUAUUAUAAGAUUGAGUUCCCGGAAGAAAUAUUACAACUUGUGAACUUACGCUACUUAUCUAUCAAUUGCGAGUCAUUGCCAAGAAGUGGAAUAUCAAGAUUGUGUAAUUUGCAAACGUUGAUUGCUAUGCCAUACGGUGGCUCUUGCCCAACUGACUUGUGGGAGAUGUCUGAGUUAAGACAUCUCAUCAUAUUGGGUCCAGUAUAUCUCAGGAUAGAAGAUGAUUACAUGAAAAAAAUUGUUCUGAAGAAGCUGGAGACGAUACGGAAUGUGAAACUAACUCCGUUAGUGAUUAGAAGGGGUUUCUUGGAAAGCAUUCCAAAUAUAAAAACCUUAGAAAUCUGGUAUGAGGCUGAAGGCUUAUGGAUGAGUGAAGUAGUUGAUGUGAGUCAUCUUCACAAGCUCCAAACAUUAGGCUGGAUUUUAGUGUUCAGGCAAUCUCUGCACGUACUCAAAUUUCCAUCUACUCUUAGAAAAUUAAGUAUCUUUGGUUGUUUAAUAACUCUGGUAGCGACGACGGCUCUGUGUGCACUACCGAAUCUGGAAGUGCUCAAGAUGCGCACAUGUACCUUCAAAAGCAAUGAGACAGAAGAAGCAUAUGGUGAAGAGUGGGAAAUAGCAGAAGGAGAUGAAUUCAGGUCAUUGCAGUUUCUACAACUCGAAGAAUGUUAUCUGGUGCGUUGGAGAGCUGAUGAAACCAACUUCCCUAGACUUCAACAUCUCAUUAUAGGCGCUUGUAGGGAGCUAGAGGAAAUCCCCGCCGGCAUUGGAGAAAUCCCAACCCUCCAAUUAAUCCACUUAGAAGAGUGCGGUGAUUCUGUGGUGGCCUCAGCGAAACAGAUUCAGGAGGAGCAGCAAUCUGAAUACGGAAACUACAACCUCCAACUUCAUAUCUCAUAAUUGGUCAGUCUUAUUUUCACUCUAAUCAUAUNUUAAGAACCUCUUAACACGGUAGAUCUGGCUGGAUUAGACGGCUGUGAUUAAGUUUUAGUGUUAUUGUAUAAUUCGUUUAAAUAAGCCAAAUAAUUCACCCUCAAAAUGACGAAAGGAUAAAAAUGGUACAAUUUUUUUGACUUUCCAUAUGGCAAUAAUUACUCCUCCGAUUUUGGCGUCUGUGUCUUUACUCAAUCUAAGAUUUGAUUUGGAUUGACAAAACCCUAUUUUUUGCAUGAAUUGUAACGUGAAGUAAUAAAAAAAAAUCGACUAAAAUUCCUAGAAAAUUGGGAUGCGGAUCAUCAUUGAUAUGAUUAAAUACUUUCACCUAAAUCACUUUUUAUUUCUGUGUGAACCGGUUCCGUUUAGUGCAUAAACUUUGAGAAGAAAAAACUUGGAGCUUCGACACAAGUGAGACGGCGAAGUCUCCUCCGGUUUCUGCGAUUCUCCGUCCACUUCGUCCUCGAAAUUGUAGAAACUGUACUUAGGGAUGGCAAGAACUAAACCUAAUCGACAGGGUUAGAUGUGAUUUUGUUUAUCAUCUGCACUGUUCUUUUUAUUUUUGUGAGAUUCGUUUUCGGUGUUCUUGAUAACACUUUUCGAUGUGUUCUUAUAGUUGUGAUAAAAUGAAUUAAUGUAUAUUGGGUACUAAACUUUUUUGGUUGUACUGUUUUUUUGUUUUCAGAUCCGGUAGUAGCAAUAUGCAUCGGUAGGCUUAUACUUUAUAAAGUAUAUUAUUUUUCAACGUUGAGUGCUCGUUGACCAACGAUUUGCACGUGUGUUUGUUAUGCCAGCAAUUUGUCAUUUUUAGCACAUGUGUGAUUGCUGGAUUUUGUUGGUUUUGCAUAGAAAUAUUUUGUUAAUCGACAAUUUGGUUUAAAAAAAUUAAAGCUUAUUCGAAAUCAUUUGUUUAAGAUCUUUUAAUAAUUGGCGAUUCAUAACUUACUGGAAUUCAUUUGUUUGAGAUAUUUGAUUUAUCGACGAUUCAUUUGCUUAUUGGAAUUCAUUUGUUUGAGAUCCUUGAGUAUUUUUCUAUUUUUGAAAUAUGGUUGGCGUUCAUACGUAUACAGGGAAUGGUAAAGAUAAGGAAAAGGGGAAGGCAAUUGUUGAUGGGUCCGAAUUUGCCGAGGGUAGCGCACCUGCAAAUGAAGGUGAAAUUUUUUAGAACAUGAUUAAAAAUUUAUUUUAAUAUACAUUAUGUGGAUGGGUAUUUAUAUUGUAUCUCUACAUUUCGUUUUGUCACCGUUGUUGCAUUGUUGACGACGUAGUUGGGGUAAUAAAGUUGUACGUGAAUUAUUAUUAUAAGAGAUAUGAAUUUUUUUCCUAACUGAUGUGAAUAUAAAUGUUGUGAAGUAGAGUAAUAUUAUUUCGUGCUCCUGUGAUGAAUCAUAUUGCUAGAAUAAAAAAUUCAGACAUAAAAACAUGGUUUGUGUGAUUUUUUUUAGAAUUUUAUGUAUGAUAGCAUUUGGGCAAGAAAAAUAGCCAAUAAUUUGUCUAUAAAUUUUCAUUCAAUUCUUUCAAAGUGGUGGUGGAUUAUAUAUAUAAAUUCAUAUUAGCCUUUCAUUUUUUUUCAAACAAGACUAGGUGUUUUUUUUUAGUAUUUUAUCUUUACGUAUCAUGAAUUGUAGAUAUAAAGUUUUGUUCAAUAUACGUAUCAGAAUACUUGAAGGUUUGGGUACAUGAAUUAUGCUUUACAGUACGUACCAAGCUUUGAAAUGAUCUAACUUUAACAGAGUUUUUGCGUGUGAUGGUUGAUGCUAUGUCAUGUUUAUUCAAAACUAAUUCUAAAUAUUUAGUGGUGAAUGCGUGCAAAUUCAUUUAAUUGUGUGAGUGACUGUUGUUUCGUGUAUAUUGUUAAAUUAGGUGAAAAGCUAAAGAGAAAGAGCAGGGAAACAUCUACGGCAGUCCCCGCUAUAGUUUCAGAACUCCCUGCAAUUGUUUUUAGGGUCUCCGAUAGCUCCUGCGAAGAAGACAAGAGUUGACAAGCGUAGACUAGCUAUGGAAAACUACAAGCAGCUAGUGAUGAAACGAUACGAGGAUUACGCAUCGCUUUUGACUUGGCAUAAAAUUCAUGCGAAUAUACUGAUUUAUUCAUGUCGUAUACUCAUCAAAUUUAGAUAUUAAACACAAAUAUUCAUAUGUUGUUAUCAAACUAUUUUAUAUACUAAAAUGAGACUCAACCAUAACUAGGAUAUAAGGCACGAAUUUUUACCUAACUCUCACUAAUAAUUCAUGCUCACCAAUUCGGACUAUAUGUGGUUUCUUAUGGAAAAAUUCUUGCGCAUAAACUUUGAAAAAUUCAUAUGAAUAUAUAGAUUUAUUCAUGUCGUAAACUCAUCAAAUUCAGAUAUGAAACACAAAUAUUCAUAUGCUAUUAUCAAACUAUUUUAUAUACUACUAAAAUGAGACUCAACCAUAACUAGGAUAUAAGGUACGAAUUUUUACAUAACUCACACUAAUAAUUCAUGUCACCAAUUCAGACUAUAUGUGGUUUCUUAUGAAAAAAUUACUGCGCAUAAACUUUGAAAAAUUCAGAUUAUUUUUUAGGAGUAGCUAUGAGCGACGCAGCCUCUGAAACUCCUAAGUUCUUUGGUUUUUUUUUCUUUAAUAUUCUGUUUAUGUUUUUGUAUGAGGUGUUCUAUAGAAAAAAGGAUAUAAAAUCCUUAAUUGUGAUGAAUAGUAGAAUCCCUUUAAUUAAGGAGUGGAUUAUAACCGAAAAUCUCAAAUUACUUUUCUAUCCCCUCUAUGAAGUCAGCGAAUUAUUUAACAUACUUGUUAGGAUCAAAUCUAGCCGUAUAUUUAAAUUGAUCCAUUGGUUAUUAAUAGUUCUUAAUUUAUAUCCUAAAUCUAGUUUUUAUUUUAGCCUAACCCUAUAUAUAUAUAUAUAUAUAUAUAUAUAUAUAUAUAUAUANUACGCGAGGCGCGAGGUCUGACCGAGGAUCUCGUGCGUAUAUCCGUCGGGAUCGAAGAUGCCGACGACCUCAUCGCCGAUCUCGAGCACGCCCUACGGACGGGGCCUCCGCAUAUAUAUAAAAGCAGAACCAAUUAGCAAAAAUAUUUUUCCGCCAUUUUGUUUAACCCCAUAUUUAGAAGGCGUAUUGGUGUUUUUUGUUUCUUUCAAGUAAUGCAUGAAACAUUGACUUUGUUUAUUAUUUAUCUAUUUAAUUUUUAUUUUAUCCAAAUAAUGCAGGGAAUGUCGAUUGUGUUUAUUUCUACUCUCUCCUUUCCAAAAUAUAAGAUGUUUUAAAUUUUUGCACAAGAAUUAAGAAGAAUUAAUUAACAUCAAAUUUUAAAAACUCAUUCUCUUUUCUCACCAGCUAAACUUAAUGUACUCCAUAUCCCAAUAAAUUAAAAUGAAAGAUUGAUAAUUCUUCCUUUAAAAAAAAGUAUUUUAAAAGGAGAAGUGAUAAAUAAAGUUAAUUAAUAUCUUAAUGAGGGAGUUGGAAAGUGAAAAAUUUAAUGAGAAGAGAGAGAUAAUAAAUCUUGAUUGAAGAGAAUCUUAUAUGUGAAACAAAAUAAAAACUUAAAACAUUAUAUUUUUUAGAGUUGAAGAAAGAAUUAUUGCCUCGAUCCAAAUAAUAGAAGUUAUAUGUAGAGAAGAUAAAUUAGAGAAUUUGAAGGUGUAUUGAAAUAUAGCAACAAUGGUCUCUAUUUAUAGAGAAUGAAAAAUAUAAAUUUUGAUAUUUUUAAUUAUUUUUUAAAAAUAUUUAUAUUAAAAAUAUAUUAAUUUUUAUUAAUUAUCCUAAUAAAAUCUACUUAACCAAUCAAGUAUUGACAAAUGGUUGCACCAUUGAUCCAAACUAGAUGAGAGAUAGUGACACUCCCUAAUUUUCCUACCGACAAAGAUGGUCUUAAUAAUGGCAGCCAUAUUUACCUGAACACCACUUUCCUUUCCUUUUGUUUUGUUUAUUUUUGGAGUGAGAAGAGAUCUCAAAAAUGGCUUACAAUCUUCAAUCACUCAUCACCAUCCUCCAAGGGAUUCUGGAUCCCGAACAAACACGCUGGAAUCUUGGACGUGAGAAACCACAACUCCAAUCCCUCCUCGAAAAAGCUUCUUACCUGCAGCAGAUUCUCGAAAAAACUCCACCACUCACCAAAAUACCAAGCUUGGAGUGCCAAAUCAGAGACGUAGCAAAUGAAGCAGAAGACAUCGUUGAAUCUCACAUGGUUGAACGACUGCUCUCGAUGCCUGAAGGCGUGAACUUCACUCCGCUCACACCAGAUGUGCUGCUUGUGACACAAAAACUUGAUUCUGUGAUCGAACAAGUCGUGAAGCUCGUGGAGGUGGAGACAAACAAGAAGCCGACUGGCAGCUCAGUGAGUGGUGCUUCUUUCUCGAGUUCGAAGAGCGUCGUGGUGGGAGUUGAUGAAGAUCUGAUGCAGUUGAAGGAUCGGCUGACCGGGAUGCAGAGCAAGCUGGAGAUCCUGCCCAUCGUGGGUAUGGGUGGUAUAGGUAAAACCACUCUUGCUCGAACACUUUAUCAAGAUCCACUCAUUGUUGACCACUUUAGCUAUCUUGCUUGGACCACAAUUUCACAAGAUUACAAUAUGCGCUCAAUUCUAUUAAGCCUUCUUCGUUGCAUAAUUGGAAAAGAAGAAUGUGACCAACAUAAUGAAAAGGGAGAUGGUGAGUUAAAAGAUAUCUUGUAUAGGAGCUUGUGUGGUAGAAGAUACAUGAUUGUAUUAGAUGAUAUUUGGAGCACCAAAUUCUGGGAUGAGAUAAGGAGGUACUUCCCGGACAACAAUAACGGGAGUCGGAUUGUGAUCACCACUAGGGAAUCGGAUGUCGCCAAAUAUGCAGACUCCAAGAGUCUGCAUCAUAGGUGCAGUUGUGAGCGAGUCUCAAAGUUGGGAUCUUCUUAGCCAAAUUGUGUUUGGAGAAGAGGAUUGCCUCAUGAGUUACAAGGGAUAGGAAAGAAGAUUGCGAGUGAUUGCGGUGGGCUUCCUUGCUAUCAAUGUGAUUGGAGGGCUGUUGUCAAAGUGGAAAGAUUGAAAGGUGUUUGGGAGAUAUUGGGAACGACGUAAGAGCUGCAAUUGCUGAAUCGGACAAGCAGUUCUUGAAUAUACUAUCCUUAAGUUAUAACCAUUGCCGUUCACUUGAAACCAUGUUUCCUCUAUAUGGCAGCAUUCUCGAAGAUUAUAGAUUGACCCCUUGAGACUCAUAUGAUGUGGGUAGCAGAAGGAUUUGUGAAAUCGAAUGGAGAUAAAAGUUUGGAGGAAGAGGCAGAGGAUUAUUUAAAGUCACUUGUAGAAAGGAAUCUAGUUUCGGUUAUUAAAGUUAUAUUAUGGAAAAGAACAAAGAGGUACAACAUGCAUGAUCUUUUGAGAGAUUUAUGCAUUAGGAAAGCUGAUGAUGAGAAGUUUCUACAUGUCAAGAAUCCACCAGCUCACAUUCUCUAACCAUCAGCGCGUCGUGUGAGUAUUCACACAGAAUAUAAUAUGGAAUGGAAAAUUGAUGAGUAUGCUUCUUCAUCAGAGAUGUCACUUGUUCGAUCAUUUCUACUAUUUCAAGUUGGAUAGGAAUGUAUCCCAUGGUUUCACAUUAAGCUUGCUUAGGGUGUUGGAUUUAUUGGAAUAUGCGUAAGAUUGAGUUCCCGGAAGAAAUAUUACAACUUGUGAACUUACGCUACUUAUCUAUCGAUUGCGAGUCAUUGCCAAGAAGUGGAAUAUCAAGAUUGUGUAAUUUGCAAACCUUGAUUGCUAAGCUACACGAUGGCUCUUGUCCAGCUGAGUUGUGGGAGAUGUCUGAGUUAAGACAUCUCAUCAUGUUGGGUGCAUAUCUCAGGAUAGAAGAUGAUUACAUGAAAAAAAUUGUUCUGAAGAAGCUGCAGACGAUACGGACUGUGAUGCUAAGUCCGUCAGUGAUUAGAAGGGGUUUCUUGGAAAGCAUUCCAAAUAUAAAAAGCUUGGAAAUCUGGUAUAAGGUUGAAGGCUCAUCAGGGAUGAGUGACGUAGUUGAUCUGAGUCAUCUUCACAAACUCCAAACAUUAACCUGGAGAAGUUCAGUGUUCAGGAAAUAUUAUCCGCACGUACCCAAAUUUCCAUCUACUCUUAGAAAAUUAAAUCUGGAUCGUUGUGUAAUAACUCCGGCAGCGACGACGGCUCUGUGUGCACUACCGAAUCUGGAAGUGCUCAAGAUACAGUAUUGUACCUUCAAAAGCAAUGAGACAGAAGAAGAAGUAGAAGAAGAAGAAGAAGCAAAUGAAGAAUGGGAAAUAGCAGAAGGAGAUGAAUUCAACUCAUUGCAGUUUCUGCUACUCGUUGGUUUAAAACUGGUGCGUUGGAGAGCUGAUGAAACCAACUUCCCUAGACUCCGCCAUCUCUUUAUACGAGGUUGUAGGAAGCUAGAGGAAAUCCCCGCCCGCAUUGGAGAAAUCCCAACCCUCCAAUUAAUCCACUUAGAAAGGUGUAGCGGUUCAGCAGUGGCGUCAGCGAGACAGAUUCAAGAUGAGCAGCAAUCUGAAUACGAGAACUACCAACUCCAACUUCGUAUCUUCCUAUAAUUGGUCAGUCUUAUUUUCACUCUAAUCAUAUUGUUGGGUUUCAUGAAACUGACGAAUUUCUUGUGUCGCAUAUCUACACAGCACAGAAAGAGGAAGAGAAAAAAAGGAAGAUGAAGAUUGAAGACGACUCAAAGUGGCCACAUUUGAAACUCAUUAAUUAGAUUUCUCCUCUCUUGUCUUGUCUACCAUUGCUUCAUAAUUUGCUUUGUUUUUCUCACUGGCUUUGUUUUUCCACUUUUUUUUUUUUUUUAGAAGAGCAACUCAUUUUCCCUUUUAGUGUUUUUAAAAAGAGGUUAUUGCAAGAAAAUCCACCACUCACCAAAAUACCACAUUGUGGCCACCCACAAUUUACCUAAAUAUAAAAUAAUUUAAUUUAUUUAACUUAUUUUUUAAAAUAAAUAUAAGAUUUAGUAUUUUAUCAUAUUUCUAUAAUGUUGGGGGUCAUUCUAUUCAUAACUUUUUAUUUUUCUUAUAACCUCAUUUUAAAAUAAUAAUGAUAAUUAAUUAAAUAUUUAAUAUUUAUCCUAUAUUUUAUAAUCCUAAAUUUAAUUUAGGAGCUAUAAAAUAUAGGAUAAAAUAGUAAAAUAAUUAAAUAAAUUUCUUGUAUAAUAUUGAUGCUUCGCAACACCAAAAUCAUACAAGAAACAAAUAAUAAAAUCACAUUAAGUUAAUCAAAAUACCCUACUAAGCCAAAUCGUGUAAUUCGCGUACUCGAAUACUCUAUUUAUCUGAAUUAACAGUUUGACUUCUGAAACUUGACAUUUGACCGGGUAAUUUAGGGUACCCGAUCGAAUAUCCAACUCGGGUAUUAGGGUACCCGAUUAUAAUUUUUUUUUUUGGGAAAUACUAGUAUUUUUUAUUGAGUGGAUUUUGAAAAUAGCCACAUUUAUAUAGUAAAAAUAAAUUUUACCCACUUAUAUAAAAACUUAAAAAAAUACCCAUAUUUACCAUUUUACCCUUGCAUAUAAUUUUUUUACAAAUACUCACGAAUUCACAAUCAGUGAAUUCACAACUGAAUAACAAGUAUUGGUUGUGAAUUCAAGUUUUAAAGUUUGAAUUCACAACUAUAAGUAGUGUUAGUUGUGAAUUCGCGUGAAUUCACAACUCACACUAUUUCAAAUUGUGAAUUCACAACCGAUAAAACUUGAAUUCACAACCAACAUUUUUUUAAGUUGUGAAUUCACAACCAAUAAAACUUGAAUUCACAAUCAACACUAUUUCAAUUGUGAAUUCACAAUCAACGCCGACAAUUCAGUUGUGAAUUCAUAAACUUGGUUGUGAAUUCAAGAACAUUUGUACAAAAUUGCGCGAUUUUCAUCAAUUUCUUCAAUCUGUGAUCCAAUAUAUUUAGUAUUCAAUCAAAGCAAAGUUUAUGCAGGAAAUUUAUUACAUUUCCUUUCUUGGAAGUUUGGAACGAAAUACAUCGCUUGUAAACAUCGAAAAUCCCCAAAAUAAGAAAAAUUUAAAAAAGCCCCAAGUUCAUCUCAAAUUUGGGCACGAUUUCCCAAAAAAAAAGGGACCAGCUCCAAUUUCAAAAAUCACGAAAAGCCUUUCUCAAAUUUGGGANCAAAACCCCCCCUACCUCCCCCCCCCAAAAAAAAUCCUGGCUCCGCCACUGAUGUGAACUACAUAUAUAAUCUUUAUGGUAAUAAUAAAUUCAUAAACACGAUCUUGUAAUUUGUGAUUGUGCUAAUUGUGUCACAAUCAUGUUGUGGUUCUUGGAACAUGAUUAUGUAGAGAAUAGCAUUACGGUGUGAAUUUUAAAACGAUAGUAAAGAAUUGCAUUUUAUGUUACAAACAAACACAUACUCUUAUCUUUCAUGUAAAAAUAAUUCUAUGAGAAAAUGAUACGGAUUUUAAUAAUUAUGAUUGAGUUUAUUAUGAGUGAAAAAAGAAACUCGCUUUAAAUAAAGUACUAUUAAAGUAGAUAAAGGACACCUUAGUGAAUAAUGGAUUUCAGAUUAAGCGCAUGUUUGGUUAAAUGUUUUUAGAGGUUGGAAAAUGAUUCUAUUAAUCAAAUUCAUUACUUAUUUGAUUCGAAUAAUGAUUUAACUAUUACUCUUACUUGAGGGUAACCUAAUCACCCAAAUUAUUAUCCCUAAAAAAAAAGAAAGGAAAUAUCUUACAAGUGAUUCCUUUUCAUUGUUACCAUUACACUCCUUUAUUUGAUUCCAUUCCAUUUCUAUUCCUCUACUUGAACCAAAGGAGCUCUAAAUUAAAGUAGUUAACCAUGUAUUAUAGAAUAGAUAAAAUAAAUUGAUAUAAAGAUAAUAGUAUGUACUAUUAAUUUGUCGUUGACCUCGUUUGAAAAUAAAAUAGGACUAUUUUUUGUGAAUGUUUUAAAAUGAAAAUAUAUGACUAUUUUUAUUAGACGAAUAGGGUAUAAGGUUAUUCAAAAUAUGACACUAAGACAAAGUAGUAAUAUGCAUAAAUGUCUCAAAAUUGUGCAAUGUCAAACUUGAAUCCAUUCACAACUUGAAUAUUUUCUUGAACAAUAUGAAAUCUCGAAGAUGAGGUAACAUGCCACUUGUGAUGAUAUCUGCAUCUUGAAACAAAUUCUAAGCAAAAACAAACACACCUUUAUCCGAGUCGAUCAUCCUUUUUGCAGCAGCAGAUCAAACUAUUCUCUAUCUUUGAUCAAUAAACUGAUCACAAGAUAACUAGCAUUUAGCGCUAACAUUUACAGAUCUCUUACAGCAUCUCCUCUUUCCAUUGUCAGUCACUUAAGCACUUAAGCAAUGUAAUUUUUAUUCAAAAUUGAAAGUCAAACAUCUAUGUUAAUACAUAAUAUUGCAUGUCAAAUUGCAAUAACUGUAGAGAUAUAAGAAUGUUAAAAGAGAUACUUCAACUUCAAACCAAAUUGGAAAAGCCAUAUCUACUCAAGAUGCUACUCGUGUUCAGAAAAUGUUUUGAGAAGAGAGAUCACAGAAAGGAUAGAGCCACUGAUUACUGUUAAAUCUAAGGAUUAAGUUUUUUGUGAUCAUUAAAAUGAAAUCCAGAGAGCUUUCGAAACCAAGUGCCAAGCUGGUUAUCAUGCUUAAGAACCAUUAAAUUCUGGUAGGUAUUAUAGAUUCUUGAUAACUAAAUAGGGAUGUGUUUAGGCCACACUACUACAGAAAAGCUAAUAGACAAUGGACAUUGUCUGUGGUCAAAUGGAGAAACUGUCUGUUGUUGAAGGUGGUAGUGUCGUAGGUGCCUGAAAAAAAGGCUCUCAAAGACCACAAACAUUGUCCGUUGUCAUAGAUAUUGAUGACAACAAAUAUUGUAUGUGGUCUUUGAGAGCAAAUAGUCCAUUGUUGUUUAGUUACUACGAAAUUAGUUUUCGACCGGUGUCAUAAAUAACGAAUGUCUAUGGUCUUUUCAGUUUACCAAACUAGCUUUUGUCUAUUGUCGUAGUUCAAAAAAAUCAAUUUUGUUUCUUAUAUACCACCUCGGUUUGUGACCGAUAUCGUAGGUCUAAAAGAAACUAUAUAUAAUAUUAUAAUCGAUUAAAUCAUAUAGUAAACGAGGGGCAUCGGCCAUGUUAUGUUUCCUCUUUUAGGUGCUUAACGAAAAAACAUUGAACUUGUGGUUGUCCGUUUUUGUUCUUCACAAUUUAUUUUAGGCGUUUUUUAAGAAUGAAAAGUUUGUUGUGGGAUUAUGAUGAUAUCUUAAAAGCUUCGUCAGUUCCUGAAAGAUAGUUUUAAAAAGGGUUAUUGUCGGAAAAAAAUUGCCAAUUUUUAUUUAUAUCAUGAUCUUUAAUAUAUGAAUAUGAAUUUUUGAUUUUGAAUAUUUCUACGACGGAUAAUUUCGCUCAAAUCCAAUCUCAAUAAUCCACUAAUUAUGGUGUUUAAGUAAAGCAGCAGACUAAUAAUAGGGUAGAAUAAGACAAUUUUGCCCAAAUUUAAUUUGAUCAGUCCCACGACUUGUAUUUUUCACUGCGACAUCAUAUUGCAUUUGGGCGAAAUUGCCCAACGUAUGAUAAUUUAGAAUUUAUCUUAAAUUCAUGUAUUUUUUGGCAAAAAAUAAAGAUCAUGAUAUAUACCAAAAAUUAACAAACUUGAGGUAUUUUCCAACCAUAACCCCUUUCAAAAUUAAAUGAUACUAUGAGUUUUAUAAAAAUGCAUUAUGAGUGAGUGAAGAAAUUAAUCACGUUUAGUAAGAUAGUAAUAUUAAGUCAUUUAUUUGUACUCAAAUGCAUUGACGGAUACAGGAUGGGGCGGUGGGGGUACAUCUAUAUUUAGUAUUAUAUAUGUAUUUAAUUGUUUAAUGUAUUUUAGCCCCCUAACCGAGCUGAGCAGCCUUUCUCAUAUGAUUAUACUAAUACUUUAUUUGGGCUUUGAGCCCAAGUUAAAGUUAAAAACUAAAAAACGACGGUUGUAUAGGUUAACAAAUGAAAGUAAAAAACAUUACACAAAUUAUAUUGGGGUUUUGGCCUAUAAAUACUCGAACUUCUCUCAUUUUCUGGUUUUGCACCCUAAUUUUAAAAUCUGCUCCUGCUCAUAAAUAUCUGGGCUUUGAAUUCUUUCUGAUUUUGCACCCGGUGAAUUUUUACCCACAAAUCGUUGUUGACAGGACAAUCGAAUUAAGAGGGAAAAUUGAAGUGCAUAAUGAAACAUAUAAAUUUUGCUGUCAAUGUGAGAUCUAAAACAUGUAAUUGUAGGGUUUGGGAUGUCAAUCCGACUGUCAUAUCAGCAACGAUUUGGGGGUAAAAAUUUGUUGGGUGCAAAAUCAGAAAGAAUUCAAAGUUUAGGUAUUUAUAGGCAGAUUUUAAAGUUGGGGUGGUGCAAAACCAGAAAAUGGUAAAAGUUCGAGUAUUUACAUGCUAAUACCCCAAUUAUAUUAAUGUAAAGAAAAAUGGUUGAAUUUUUGAGAUAGUGGGAGAAAGAAUUACCACUGCCCAAUGGAUGCAUUAUGCAAAAACUUGAAAAACUUGGGUGAAAUUGUGUGGAAGUUUUGGAGUUUAAGGAAAAAAAAUUAUUGUAUUUUAAAUUUAUUGGAUGAUAAAUAAGAUAGUUAUGUAAUUUUUUUUCUUGUUUGAACAAUGUUUUGGAAUAUAUUAUUUUUAAUAUUAAAAUAUCUUUUAUAUUUAAAUUUAUAAAAUUAUUUUUUCGUACCCUUAAUUUAAAAAUCCUAGAUGCGCUGCUGCUCAACUGUUAUGUUUGGUUAUUAAUAUUGAACAGUGAAUAAUUGUGAGCAGUUAUACAUUCGCCAAUCCUAAUGCACGACCAACUAAUUGAUAGUAAUAAUUUAUGGAAAUAAAUGUACAUUUUACUCACUAAUAAAAUUGAAUGAUAGAAAAAUCACAUGGUUUGCCCACAUAAACAGCUCAUAAGUUCCGUGGCCCAGAGUAUACUAUACUAGUAAUUAUUAAGACAUUCAAAAUUUAAAAAGUUAAACCCACUACAUAAGGAUAAUAAAAAUAUCAAAUUUUUAAUCCAAAAGUAGGGAUGUCAAUCGGGCCAGCCCACUCGGUUUCGGGCCAGCCCAUUCGGUUUCAGGUUAUUUUCGGUUCGGACUAGUCGGUUUUUUUAUUUUUCGGGCUAAAAUUUUUCGACCCUAACCCUAACCCACUCGGUUUCGGGCUGGCCCGUUCGGGUCCGCAAGUUUUACGAUUUUUUUAUAUGUUUUUUUUAUAUAUAUAGAUAAUCAUAUUCUUUUAAAUAAAAAAUGUCGUAUUUUUUAAAUCAAGACAUUUCGCUUUUAUUUUAGAUACAAAAAUUUAGUUUUUUUUAACAUAAGUUUACAUAAUAUCUAACUUUAAUUUCUUUUUUUAUAAAAAUUGUAUAUAGAUUUAAUAUAAAUGACUAUCUUUCUUUGACUUUUAUAUCAUAAAUGUUUGUUAUUAACCGUUGGUAAAAAUCAAAACAUAUUCUACAUGCAUCAAAAUGUUAUUAUUGAAUUAAAAAGUAAAGUGUUAAAGUUUAAAAAUCAAUUAUUAAGAAUGUGUUCGGUUAAUCGGGCCAAUCCACUCGGUUUUCGGGCCAACCCUAUCGGGCUCGGGCUAUUUUCGGUUCGGGCCAUUUGGGCUAAAUUUUUUUCGGGCUAAAAAUUUUCAGCCCUAACCCACCUUUUUUAUCGGUCUAUUCGGGUCGACCCGUCGGUUUCGAGCUUUUUUGACAUCCCUAUCCAAAAGUGCUAGAGUGAAUAGUAAAAAGUCAAUAGUGUUUUAUGCAAUAAUUGUUUCUUUGCUAGUGGGUAGUUAGUGGAGUUUUAGUUAAUUAAUUAGGAGUCGAAUACAAUUAUAGAGAAUAAAGCGACUACUUGUAAGAAACAAUAACAUUGAUAUGAUAUCCACCCCAAACCUCACUAAAUUGAUAUGAUCAUCACUACUUUCAAGCUCCAUUUCUCAACAUCUUGAUGCUAAUUAUUCCAUCUUGUGAUUGUUAAUUACAAGUUUUCCUUUCUUCCUUUUGCUUUGGUUUUGUUUAUUUUUGGAGUGAGAAGAGAUCUAAAAAAUGGCUUACAAUCUUCAAUCUCUCAUCACCAUCCUCGAAGGGAUUCUGGAUCCCCAACAAACACGCUGGAAUCUUGGACCUGAGAAAUCACAACUCCAAUCCCUCAUCACCAUCCUCGAAGGAAUUCUGGAUCCCAAACAAACUCCACCACUCACCAAAAUACCACGCUGGAUUCUUGGACGCAACCAUCAUAGACUAUGUCAAUCAUCAUCUUCUUCUUCUCCUUCUAAUCCCUCCUCGAAACCACAACUCCAAUCCCUCCUCGAAAAAGCUUCUUCCCUGCAGCAGAUUCUUGAAAAAACUCCACUCACCAAAAUUCCAAGUUUGGAGAGCCGAAUCAGAGAUGUAGCAAAUGAAGCAGAAGAUAUCAUUGAAUCUCACAUGGUUGAGCGAAUGCUCUCGAUGCCUGAAGGCGUGAACUUCACUCCGCUCACACCAGAUGUGCUGCUUGUGACACAAAAACUUGAUUCUGUGAUCGAACAAGUCGUGAAGCUCGUGGAGGUGGAGACAAACAAGAAGCCGACUGGCAGCUCAGUGAGUGGUGCUUCUUUCUCGAGCGUCGUGGUGGGAGUUGAUGAAGAUCUGAUGCACUUGAAGGAUCGGCUGACCGGGAUGCAGACCAAGCUGGAGAUCCUGCCCAUCGUGGGUAUGGGUGGUAUAGGUAAAACCACUCUUGCUCGAACACUUUAUCAAGAUUCACUCAUUGUUGAGCACUUUGGCUAUCUUGCUUGGACCACAGUCUCACAAGAUUACAAUAUGCGCUCAAUUCUAUUAAGCCUUCUUCGUUGCAUAAUUGGAAAAGAAGAAUGUGACCAACAUAAUGAAAAGGGAGAUGGUGAGUUAAAAGAUAUCUUGUAUAGGAGCUUGUGUGGUAGAAGAUACAUGAUUGUAUUAGAUGAUAUUUGGAGCACCAAAUUCUGGGAUGAGAUAAGGAGGUACUUCCCGGACAACAAUAACGGGAGUCGGAUUGUGAUCACCACUAGGGAAUCGGAUGUCGCCAAAUAUGCAGACUCCAAUAGUCUGCAUCAUAAGGUGCAGUUGCUGAGCAAGUCUCAAGGUUGGGAUCUACUUAGCCAAAUUGUGUUUGGAGAAGAGGAUUGCCCUCAUGAGUUACAAGGGAUAGGAAAGAAGAUUUCGAGUGAUUGCGGUGGGCUUCCUCUAGCUAUCAAUGUGAUUGGAGGGCUGUUGUCAAAGGUGGAAAGAUUGAAAGAUGCUUGGGAGAAUAUUGGGAACGACGUAAGAGCUGCAAUUGCUGAAUCGGACAAGCAGUUCUUGAAUAUACUAUCCUUAAGUUAUAACCAUCUGCCGCUUCACUUGAAACCAUGUUUCCUCUAUAUGGCAGCAUUCCCUGAAGAUUAUGAGAUUGACCCCUUGAAACUCAUAUGCAUGUGGGUAGCAGAUGGAUUUGUGAAAUCGAAUGGAGAUAAAAGUUUGGAGGAAGAGGCAGAUGAUUAUUUAAAGUCACUUGUAGAAAGGAAUCUAGUUUCGGUUACAAGUUAUGAUUGGUAUGGAGAAGCAAAGAGGUACAGCAUGCAUGAUCUUUUGAGAGAUUUAUGCAUUAGGAAAGCUGAUGAUGAGAAGUUUCUACAUGUCAAGAACUCCACCUAGCUCACAUUCUCUAACCAGCCGCGUCGUGUGAGUAUUCACACAUCAUAUGCUUCUUCAUCAGAGAUGUCACUUGUUCGAUCAUUUCUACUAUUUGUCGAGUUGGAUAGGAAUGUACUUCCCAUGGUUUCCACAUUAAGAUUGCUUAGGGUAUUGGAUUUAUUGGAAAUGAAUAGGUAUGAGAUUGAGUUCCCGGAAGAAAUAUUACAACUUGUGAACUUACGCUACUUAUCUAUCAAUUGCGAGUCAUUGCCAAGAAGUGGAAUAUCAAGAUUGUGUAAUUUGCAAACGUUGAUUGCUAAUCUAUUCAACACAUCUUGUCCAGCUGAGUUGUGGGAGAUGUCUGAGUUAAGACAUCUCAUCAUAUUUACUCUAUCAUAUCUCAGGAUAGAAGAUGAUUACAUGAAAAAAAUUGUUCUGAAGAAGCUGCAGACGAUACGGCGUGUGAAGCUAAGUCGGUCAGUGAUUAGAAGGGGUUUCUUGGAAAGCAUUCCAAAUAUAAAAAGCUUGCAUAU
rnacentral:lncRNA from 1 species